rnacentral:rRNA from 1 species
AUUAUUAAGAACUAAAUAUUGUAAGUAAGUAAAUAUUAUGAAACAAAAAAUUAUGGCGGUACUUUAAGCUUUUCAGAGGAAUUUGCUCUUUAAUGGAUAAAACACCUAAAUCUUACUAAAAUUAGUUUUAAGCCAGUUUGUAUACCACUAUAAAAGUAAUAAUUUAUAAUUAUUACUUAAAUUUUAAGAGUUUAAAAUUAACUUAAGUCAUGGUGCAGCAAAAAUUUUAGGUUGAAGUGAAUUACAUUUCUUUUCAGUUUUUUAAAAUUUAAAAAUUAAUUAGGAUUUGAAAGUAAAAAUAUAAUAUAAUGAUAUUUUGAAUUAAGUUCUGAAGUAUGUAC